CGGGAUGUAGCGCAGCUUGGUUAGCGCGCGGCGUUUGGGACGCCGAGGUCGCCGGUUCGAAUCCGGCCAUCCCGACCA
rnacentral:tRNA from 1 species